AAACAUACAACAGAAACUGCAAUUCUUGAAAUCUUUUUACAAGAAAUAUACUGAAUCAGUGCAGAAUAUGCAUUAAUUGCAAAAGGUGGAGCUGAUAGCAACAUGCCUCUAAUGUAUAGUUGACGACCUUAAGUUCUCCAAAAAAUGGAAAGCAUUGUUUAAUAGCAAUAUGAAAAUAGUGGAAACCUUAACUGAAAGUGACCAAAACAUAUUACUUCAUUAAGAAGAUGGAUAACAACUAUGAACCCUGUAGAUUCUAUUGUUGCUUCCAACAUGAUACUUAGAGAUUAGAAAACAUUUCUGAAUGCUAGAUGCAUUGAAAAUACUGGAAAAAUCAACAUUCAUGUUUAACAUUCUUCUAGAAGCAAGCUUACGAAAAUACAGGCCAUUUUCGAAAAUGUUGUUCUCCAAACUGUCUAAUACCAACGUUUAAUAAUUGUGACCGAGCUAUGGUAGCUUCAAGCCUGUAUUUAUACUCAUUUUAAUCUCUUUAUAUUUUAGAUUAAUAUUCAUUUUCAACAUUCUUCUAGAAGCGUGUGCUUAUGAAAAUACAGGCCAUUUUCGAAAACGUUGUUUUCCUAACUAUCUAAUACCAAAGUUUGAUAAUUAAUUGUGACGACGCUAUUGUAGCUACAAACCUGUAUUUACACUCGUUUUAAUCUCUCUAUAAUCAAGAUCAACAUUAAUGUCCAAAACUCUUCUGAGAGUUGGUGUAUACGAAAAUACAGGCUACUUUCGAAGACGCUAUUUCCCCAACUCAUUUGUGAAAUACCAAAGUUUGCUAAUCAAUUAUGAGGACACCAUUGGAGCUACAUAUUAACAUUUGCACCUAUUCUAAUCCGUGUAUAUUCAAGAUCAACUUUAUAACAUUCUUCUGGGAACUUAGUUACAUUUUUAGUUUCGUUAGAAGAAGUUGUUUAUUUUGAUUAUUUAUGCUGAAGAAAGAAGUUAUGGUUUUAUUGGAAGAAGCUGUUUACUUUAAUUAUUUGGGCGGAAGAAGAAAUCAGAAGAAUAAGUGUUAUUUUUGUAUUUGUCUUUGACUCAACAGACAGUGGCUAGCUUGUUGGCGCGUAAUGCGGAAACCAAAUGAAGAAGUGGGAAGGAAGAAAAAAAACAUUCUAAUUUUAAUUAAUAAACAUAUCAGAUUAGUGCUCG